ensembl:lncRNA
AUGGGGUGAGGUGAAGGAUCUGGGCGGCAGUGUUAAGAUAGCGGCCGCUAGUCGGGCUGAAGAGGCGUAGGAGAAGCACGUCGCCUUUCGUAAAGGGCAUUUGCUCCCCGGGUCUCUCAGUACUACUAGCAUUGGCCUACCUGUGGUGGUGGGCCUCGGGUUUCCACCAUGUGCGCUCUUGUCCAGAGCCCCUUAGCUAUGUGUCCACCCAAAAUUCCAUGGCCUCACUUCUCUGCUUCUGUGGUUGUGUGUAAGGAGCUAACUGAAUCUUUUGUUCUGAGCAUGAUGAAUUGCUUGUGUGUUCAAGACUAGGAGUGUGUUUGGGACACACAGUAAUAUUACCAGUCUUGAGACAAAAGGAGCUUGAGAACAAUGUGCCCUUGCAGACAAGUUGAGCAGAGGCUUGCAAAUUCCCUUCCACUUGAUGGCUGUAAACUCACCAAAUAAGGCUUCACUUACAAAGGUCAACCGAAAACUUGAGCUUAUGAACUUUGGACUUACUGUGCAGGCUUAAUAGGCUAAUUAAUUUUAAAUUCUCUGCCUUGGGCAGCAUAUGGUUAGAGCUAAUUACACGUGAUGUGUGAUACAUAAUGUAGCUCGCAUACAUGGGGGAACAUGUAUUGGGCAGACUGGGAAGACUUAUCUCCAGACACUUCAGUCAGUGAGGAAAGGAGAAGGGACAAUGCGGCUGGGAAACAGGGAUAAAAAAGUCUGUGACUUCUGCAGGCUUCAGUGAAUGUCACAGGGUGCCAUUUUUUCUCCAUGGAGGAACUCAGUUCUACACCACUGCUCCAUGCGCACUUCCAUGUCAGACGCCAUUUUGUCAGACUGCUCCUCUGCUGCCAGCUGUCACACAACAACGUGGAACAGAAUAUUGGCAGGAAGGUUCAACCUCUGCUGCCAUGCUGCCAACAUCAUGAAACAGGAGGCAUUACUUCUGAAGCAGGCAUUUUGAAAUAUAUGCUGUGGUCAUUGUAUUAUAAGCAACAGAGAUUACUGUAAUUUUUAAUAUUUUUAAUUGAAAAAAAAAAAGAGAGCAACU